AUAUAUAUGUAUGUAUUAUAUAUAUAUGUUUGAUAAUUCCACAAACGUUUAUAAAUUGAUUAUUGCUUAUGAUUACUAUGAAUGCUUUGAAGUACUAAUGUGAACUACGAAUGGCUUGAUCCCUGUUUAGGGUACAUAGGCAGUCUAACGAGACGUUAAAUGCAACCAUACAAUAAUUGAGACAAUAGUCUUGUUUAGGGAAUUGAGCAAUGUGAGAGACAUUGUUGGAAAAUAUGAGAUUUACCUUAUGAUUUGGUGGUUAAAUGUUAGUCAUAAAUCAAUGUGUAAAGAAUCAAGAAUUUGAAGUAAGGAAGCGUAAGUAAUGAUAACUAAUUAAACUAGUGUCUAGUUGGGCUUGUCACCGAUAAUUAUUCCUGAAAUAAAUAAUUCGGGAGUAGGGCGUUAUAGUUUAUGCAUCUUUAUGCCUCAUUAUUUAUGUAUAUAUAUACAUAAUUGGAAAUGCUAUAACAUGGUUGAGUAUCAGAUUUCAUCGUAGUUUAUCUAUAUGUAUAUUACCUGCACAUAAUUAUUAUGAACGCUUUGAAGUGCAAAGGUGAACGCAGGACACCCAGGUAAGUUCAAGUGAGUUUAUGGUAUUAGUUGAAAUGAUAGGGUUAUUGUAUGACUACAUGUAUGUAUAGGCAACUCCGACCUUGUUGUGUAGGUUGCAAUAAUAGGCAACUUCGACACUGUUGUACAGGUUGCCCAUGAAUCGUAUAUAUUACAAUAGAUACAAUUAGAGCUCAUAAACCUGCACCCUGGUGUUAGUGCUCCCGCCUGUGGCCAGGGCACAAUCUUUCACGUGAUGUUCACCUCUCUCACCUUACGCUCACCUUAGAUCCAAGGUAGGUGCAUAGUUUUGUCGUACAGACCACUAUAAGUGGUUCCGACUUGUAGGUGACCCGCGAUUAUUUGCACAGUCUUCACGUGAUUGUAGCACUUGAGCGUAUUUAUUUACACUCAGUCUUGUCAUACAGUACACUUUAGGUGGUUCUGACUCAUGUGCAGGUAUACUUAUUAAGCUAUGGAUAAGUCGUACAGGUCACUAGAGGUGACUCCGACUUAUGAGCUAGCAUAUGUGAUGAUAUAUGUGAUGAGUUAACAUAUAUGAUGAGAUAUGCUAGCAUAUAUGAUGAAAUAUGUGAUGAGCUAGCAUAUAUGAUGAAAUAUGUGAUGAGCUAACAUAUAUGAUGAAAUAUGUGAUGAGCUAGCAUAUAUGAUGAGAUAUGUGAUGAGCUAGCAUAUAUGAUGAAAUAUGUGAUGAGCUAGCACAUAUGAUGAGAUAUGAGAUAAGCUAGCAUAUGUGAUGCAAUAUGUGAUGAGCGCUAAUACAUGAUGAGAUAUACUAUACUUGCUUAUGCCUUAACGUCAUGUGUGAAGUGAGUUCAUCCCUGCUCACCAGCGCAUUCUGGUAUUUAGGCACUCCUAGGUUUAAAUUUAUUCACAUUUUUCCACAUCAUCAUACUUUAUGGCUUCGUCACCCUCCAGCACAACUCGUUUCGGAGUCUUAAUGGACAUCCCGGGUUGGGGUGUGUCAAAUAUGAUAUGCCGAUAUUUACGGUUAACUAAAAUAUGAGUUGGUGUUAUAUAAUUUCUAGAGACUUUAUAAACUUCAAACUAUAUUUUCACUAAUGGUAAAACUCUGAACAUAAUAUCAACAAUUUGAACUGUUCAUUUUCCUGCAUCCUCUAAGAGAUCAUGUUUUCAAACAAGAAAAUCCAAAAAAAAAAAACAAAAUUUGGUGAGAAGAAUGGAGUGUAAAUAUAAACGAUAAUCAACGGUUAAAUUUAGAUCUAAAGUUUAUGGAUUAUGGAAAACCUUUAGGGAAAACAUCAUCAAUAUAACUCUUGAAGAUAAUAUAUCAAGCUAAAGUUCCAAUACCAUUUCCCUUGGUGAUUGAUGAAAAUUGAAGGGUUUUAUUGUCAAAAAACGUGCAAGGUUCCUCAACCUUGAAACGCAACUCUAUUCAUUUUGCAUGUCAAAAAACGUGCAAGAUUCCUCAACCUUGAAACGCAACUCUCUUCAUUUUGCAUAUCUUUGAAUAUUUGUAUUUUGUAGUAUGCACUAAUAUUUUUUCAUUAGGCUCUUAUUUUGGGGACUAUAAACUUGAAAGACUAAUGUUUUUUUAUUUUAUUUUAUUUUAUGUUUUGAAGUGAUAUUUAUGUGACAAUGUGGUAUGUAUAUACUAAUUUAGUAUUAUAUUUUACAUUUUUUUGGGUCAAAUUAUGUUUUUCAUUUUCAUUAUUUAUUGAUUUAAAUAUAUUUUUCUUAACGGCUGAUGAGUAGAUUUUUAUAUAUUUUACCCUAAUCUUAGUAUAUUUUGGUUAAUAUAUUGGAAGAAUUUUGAUACUUUGAAUUGUAUUUUCAAUAUAGGACUUUCGAGAAAAUGGCGCCGUUGCCGGGGAUUAUUUAAAAUAAUCCCUACUAAUCAGAUUUUCAAUUAGUUAUUGUUGUUCAUACAUAAAAUAAAAAAAUAAAAAAAUUAAUUUUCGUUUUUAUUUUAUUUUUACAGAUUACAACAGUACAGCGGUGCAGAUUUAAGAAAUCUGUGCAUGGUCAGCACCCGUUCAACAGUGCAGAAAUUGAUUCCACUUGAUCCAGAACUUGAGCAGAAUUUAAGGAGGAAACGCUGGGAGCAAACUUUGCAGAGGGUUCGUCCUCUGCAGGAGACUUUUCUGCAAUCAUUCUUUUCUGGGGACCUGCACAACAAAGAUAAAAUGGCAUUUGUAAUUCCAGAAGCUGGUCUGCCCCUGGGAGAUUCAUUGACAGCCCAUACCACAAAUAUACCAAGUUGCAUUACUUAUCCGGCAGUGGAGGAAGGGUCUGCAUUUGAAAUAAAGCAGCACAUGUUGAAUAUUCUACCUACAUUUCAUGGGUUAUCAUCUGAUGAUCCUAACAUGCACAUUGCAGAAUUUUUAAUGGGGUGCAAAAACAUUUUGGUGAGGGGAUUUUCAGCCGAAUCUAUUAAGCUGCGUUUAUUUCCAUACACACUAAAAGAUCAAGCAAGGAGAUGACUCUUCACACUCCCAUCUGGAAGCAUUAGUACUUGGGCCCAACUCAGUGAAAAUUUUUUAAACAAGUAUUAUUCGGCUUCUAAGACUCUUGACAUGAGAACUCAGAUUUUAUCUUUUGCCCAAAAACCAAAUAAGGAGUUUCAUGAGGCGUGGGAGCGGUUUAAAGAGUUGAUUAGAAAAUGUCCACAUUCGGGUAUUAACACUACUGAUCAAAUGCAUAUAUUUUUCAGAGGGUUGAAUAUGACUACAAAAACUCUUGUCAACGCUUCAUGCGGAGGUUCGUACAAAGACAAAAAUGCACGAGAGGCUUGUUUGUUAUUUGAAAAAAUGGCAGCAGAUACACAGCAGUGGGCAGUUGAGCAGCCACAAUCUAGGUCAGCUUUUGAGAUGUCUACUGGUUCUCCGUACGUUACAGCACAAAUUGAAAAAAUGGAGAAAAUGCUUGAUGCAAAAUUUGACAUGUUAUUACAGAGAAUACCAAGUUCCCAGGUUGCUGUACAGCAACCCUUACAAGCUGCCUGCAGCAUUUGCAACUGAUAACUCACGAUUUUAUGAGCUGCCCACAUAAAGAUGUUUCUCCAGAUUUUAUAGCAGAGCAGGUUAAUGCAUUUAACAAUUUCCAGCGCCCCCGAUAUUACCCGUAUUCUAAUUUCUACAACCCAGGUUAGAGAGAUCAUCCUAAUCUAAGGUGGGACAAGGAACAGCACACUGGGCCUCAAUUUCAACAGCAGGUACAACAACCUGCUGCACCUAAGGUUGCUUGGGAGGUUGCAAUUGAAAAAUUGGCAAAUACUACCACUCAAGAAAUUCAAAAUCUACAGGCAACAGUGAAAAACAUGGAAAAACAGAUGGGGCAGAUUGCUUUGCAGGUUUCUGGAAGGGCACCGAGUACAUUUCCCAGCCAAAUCGAACCAAAUCCAAGGGGAGGUGCAGAUUGCAAGGCAGUUAGAGUUCUACGUUCCGGCAAAAGUUUUGAUAACAGGGAUGAAAAUUGCGUUCAAAAUUCACGGGUGGCUUCGCAGCCAAAAACAGAUUCGGGGAAUGUUGAAAAAUCUGCCAAUUCGAAAAAUUCUGAACAGUCCUUGAACAGUUCCGAAAAUGGUGCAAAUAUUGUUGCGGAUCGUGUGUAUGAGCCACUUAUGCCUUAUCCCGAAAGGUUGAAGCCUAAAGUUAAAGAUCAACAAUUGACAGAUUUUAUGAAGACUUUGUCUAAGGUUCAGAUUAAUCUGCCGUUAAUUGAUGCCAUCAAGAACAUUUCAUCUUAUGCCAAGUUUUUAAAGGAUGUUUGCACAAAGAAAAAGAAGCUCGUUGAUUUUGAGAAAGUGAUUCUUACAGAACAAUGCAGCGCUGUUCUACUACAUAAGUUGCCCCCAAAGAAACAAGAUCCAUGGAGUUUUACAAUUUCAUGCUCAAUUGGAAAUUCUAAUUUUAAACGUGCUUUAAUUGAUUUAGGUGCUAGUAUUAAUUUAAUGCCUUUUUCUGUUUUUCAGAGACUGGGACAAGGAGAAAUCAAGCCUACAUCAGUUAUUCUACAACUAGCGGACCGUUCAGUUGCUUAUCCUAGGGGAAUUAUUAAAGACCUAAUUAUUAAAGUGGAGAAUCUCUAUCUUCCUGCAGAUUUUGUGAUUUUGGAUAUGGAUGAAGAUAUGCAAACACCAAUUAUUUUGGGACGUCCCUUCAUGGCAAUAGCUAGAACAUUAAUUGAUGUAGAGGCUGGAACACUUACACUUAGAGUGCAAGAUCAAUCUGUUGUGUUCAGUUUAUUUGAAGCUACCAAAAGGCCAGGUGAUGUGCAUGAUUGUAUGCGUGUUGAUAUGCUGGACAGCUUAUUGCAUGCUGAAAUUAUGCCACGUUUGACAUCGGAUCCAUUGUUAAAUGUGUUGCAUGAGUUUGAGAAUAAAAAUACAGUAGAUGAAGAGGUUUUUGAGUAUGUUUCAGCUUUGGAAAGUGUUCCUUUUCAACCCCCACGUUGGAGGCACGUUUUUGAGAGUUUGGGGGAACCCAAAAAGCUGUUGCAGCCUUCUAAGGUACAACCAACUAAACUGGAGUUAAAGGUGCUUCCAGAACACUUGAAAUAUGCUUAUUUGGGUGCAGAUUCUUCGCUGCCAGUUAUUAUAGCUGCUGAUUUAUCAUCAACAGAAGAAGAUAAAUUGUUACGCAUUUUAAGGAGUCAUCAAGAUGCAAAUGGCUGGACUAUAGCUGACAUUAAGGGGAUCAGCCUUACAAUUUGUAUGCACAAAAUUUUGAUGGAGGAUGGAGUAAAACCUGCUAUUGACGCUCAACGUCGUUUGAAUCCAAUUAUGAAAGAAGUUGUUCGUAAUGAAGUUAUGAAGCUUUUAGAUGCUGGGAUGAUCUAUCCCAUUUCAGAUAGUAAGUGAAUUAGUCCAACUCAAGUGGUGCCAAAGCGUUCUGGUAUUACAGUUGUGCAGAAUGAUAAUAAUGAACUUGUGCCUACUCGUUUGACUACUGGGUGGCGUAUGUGUGUUGAUUAUAGAAAGAUCAAUGCAGGCACUAGAAAAGAUCAUUUUCCAUUGCCAUUCAUUGAUCAAAUGUUGGAAAGGUUGGUUGGUCGUGCUUUCUAUUGUUUCUUGGAUGGCUAUUCAGGGUACAACCAGAUUCCAGUUGCCCCUGAGGAUCAAGAAAAUACAACCUUUACUUGUCCUUUUAGGACUUUCGCAUAUAGAAGAAUGCCUUUUGGUUUGUGCAAUGCGCCUGCCACGUUUCAACAUUGCAUGAUGAGCAUAUUUACCAGGUUAGUUGAACAUGUAGUUGAGGUAUUUAUGGAUGACUUUUCUGUUUUUGGGGAUUCUUUUGACCAAUGUUUGCAGAAUUUAUCUCUAGUUCUUGAAAGGUGCAUUAAGACCAACCUAGUUUUAAAUUGGGAAAAGUGUCAUUUCAUGGUUAAGCAGGGAAUUGUCCUAGGCCACUUGAUUUCUAACAGGGGUAUUGAAGUUGACAAGGCUAAAAUUGAUGCAAUUAAGAAGUUGCCACCCCCUACAACUGUUAAGAGUGUUCGAUCUUUUCUUGGCCAUGCCGGAUUUUAUAGACGAUUCAUCAAGGAUUUCUCCAAGAUUAGCCGACCAUUGUGUAAUUUAUUGGCUAAGGAUGCACCUUUUGUUUUUUAUGAGACUUGUUUGGAGGCCUUCAAGAAGUUAAAGACACUCCUCACUACAGCACCCAUUAUUGCAGCUCCUAAUUGGAGCCUACCUUUUGAAUUGAUGUGUGACGCAUCAAAGUAUGCAGUGGGAGCAGUUCUUGGACAGCGGAAAGAUAAGCUUCCCCAAGUUAUAUAUUAUGCUAGUUGAACCCUCAAUGAUGCACAACUAAACUAUGCUACCACAAAGAAAGAAUUGUUGGCAGUUGUUUUUGCAUUGGAAAAUUUUCGUUCGUAUUUAGUUGGGGCUAAAGUGAUUGUUUAUACAGAUCAUGCAGCUUUGAAAUAUUUGUUGUCUAAAAAAGAUGCUAAGCCUCGAUUAAUUCGUUGGAUUCUUUUAUUGCAAGAGUUUGACUUAGAAAUCAGAGAUAAAAAGGGUAGUGAAAAUGUGGUGGCUGACCAUUUAUCUAGAUUAAUUAUUCCCACAGCUUCCGAAGAGGAUUCCCUACCAUUAAGGGAGAGUUUUCCAGAUGAACAACUAUUUGCAGUCCAAUUCCGUACACCAUGGUUUGCUGAUAUUGUUAAUUAUUUGGUUAAAGGUGUAGUGCAUCCAGAUUUAACGUUUCAGCAGAAAAAGAAGUUUUUAUCUGAUGUCAAGCAUUAUUUCUGGGAUGAGCCAUACCUAUUUAAGUAUUGCCCAGACCAGAUUAUUCGCAGGUGUAUUCCUGAAGCCGAACAGGAAAGUGUUUUAAAGUUUGCUCAUCAUUUUGCUUGCAGGGGACAUUUUGGGCAGAAAGGACAGCAUAGAAGAUUUUGCAAAGUGGGUUAUUUUGGCCUAUACUUUUUCAAGAUGCACAUAAUUGGUGCAAGGCUUGUGAUAGGUGUCAAAGAGUCAGCAACCAGUCCAAAAGGAAUGAGAUGCCCCAGCAAAGUAUUUUAAUUGUUGAAUUAUUUGAUGUUUGGGGUAUUGAUUUCAUGGGACCAUUUCCAUCUUCCCAUGGGAACCACUAUAUUUAGUUGCUGUGGAAUAUGUUUCUAAGUGGGUCGAGGCCAUUGCAGCACCAACUAAUCAAGGAUCAAUGGUCCUGAAGUUCCUCCAAGGGGUUAUAUUUCCGCGUUUUGGAAUUCCACGCGUUAUUCUUAGUGAUGGGGGGAAGCAUUUUAUUAAUAAACCGUUUGCUAAUUUGUUGGCAAAAUAUGGGAUUAAUCAUCCACAUACAUCUGGUCAAGUGGAAGUUUCAAACAGAGAAUUAAAACGCAUUUUGGAGAAAACAGUUGGUUCAACACGUAAAGAUUGGAGUUCAAAAUUAAAUGAUGCAUUGUGGGCCUACAGGACAGCUUAUAAGACUCCUAUUGGAAUGUCACCAUUUCGACUCGUUUAUGGGAAAGCAUGUCAUCUACCUAUGGAGCUUGAGCAUAAGGCUUACUGGGCAAUUAAAGAGUUAAAUUUUUCGUAUGAUUCAGCUGGGGAACAACGUAAAUUACAGCUCAAUGAGCUGGAGGAAAUUCGUCAGGGUGCUUAUGAAAGUUCUCGCAUCUACAAGGAAAGAACUAAGGCAUUUCAUGAUAGUCAAAUUUUAAGGAAAGAAUUUCAGCCAGGGCAAAAGGUGUUGCUAUUCAGUUCACGGCGAAAGUUGUUUCCAGGGAAAUUGAAAUCUCGCUGGACUGGGCCAUAUCUGGUUACUAAAGUCUUUUCUCAUGGGGCAGUUGAAAUAACUAAUGAAGCUCAAGGUGAAUGGGCACAGGCUGAAACCAUACGUGGAGUCACCCUUUGAUACUGCAUACGAGUCUUUGACUCUGAAGGAACCAGUGAUCUAGCCACCGAACUUCCGCAACGUCUAGCUACAGACUUAAAAUAAAGCGCUAAUUGGGAGGCAACCCAACUUUUCUAAACUUUUUCCUAAUUUUAAUUUUCGUUUGAUUUUCUCUUUAAUAUAAACAAACAAACAAAAAAAAAAGACGAAAAUGCAAAAAUACAAAAAUGGAAAAUUGCAAGUUGAUUUUUUUUUUUUUUUUUUUUAACCCAUAUUCGUUAAUUGUAGGUUGCAAACAUGGAAAAAUAAAACGCGUCCUAUGCUGGAAUCCUGCACCCAGCAGCAAGUCUAAUGUUCACAUCAACCACAUCUACCCUAUGCUGGAAAUUUAAAGCAGUCAACAUAAAGUCAUUCACAGAUGCAAGUUUGGGGGUGAUUGUUGCAGAUCCAGCACAGAAACAAAAUUUAGAGCAGUUAAUUUUCUGCAGCUCAAUUUUGCGAUGCAUAGAGGAAGCACAAUUAAAUCACAGAUCCAUACACCACAGAACUGAGUACAGCUAUUAUUACCAGAUCUAUAACAACUACACUUGCAGGGAUUCGAAGUUUACCUCCCGAAUGCACCGAUCUGGGUCAUGCGGCCUGUGCUGUUUUCAUCCGUUGAGCUUGUGUGUUUACUUCUGUUUCCUUGGCUCUAUCAUGGAUCCGUAUACCCCUACAUAAAGAGCAAAAAUAUGAGUACAUACAGGUUAAAUAUGGCAUUAUAAUGAACUGUCGUUGAACAUGUAAAUGUUGAGUUUAGCAACUGCAGAAGAACGAGAUCUUUACCUUCAUGAUUUGCAGCAACCGAGACAUUUGCCGUUUAUUUUGCCGUCUGGGACCAUUAGACCGGCAACUUAAGCUUGUUUUCUCUCGGUUAUACGCUGGAUUUGAGUGUCAUUUUUCAGUCCCAGUAGUGGUUAUAUUAUUCAAAUAUCAGAUCAUCGUCAAUCUAUCAAAAGGGUUACGGGUUUUACCUCAAAAUUUGCAGAUCCGUGAGUUUGGGAAUUUUUUUUUUCAGUUAGUCUCUUCAGUAUCUUUCUAAAUCUCGGGUACCUACUACAGAAGAACAUCACUGUAAGCUGUUGGAAAUGUGCCCUAAAACCAAUCAUAUGAUGAUACUUUACGGACAUUUCACAAGUUAAACUAAUGUAGUUUAAAUAUAAAGGGCAAAGAUUAUUGUUUUAAGCCGUCUCAUAUAAAUGUUAUAUGCUUAAACGAUAAGUCCAAGGAAUAUGUGAUCGGGAGAAUGCAAUCUAAAGAAGUUAGAUUCAUGAGACCAUUCUUUCGUAUACAUAUCCUAAAUGUUCCUGAUCAUAGGAUUGCCAAUUGGGCAUUGACAGUCCGUUAAGAUCAGUACGUGCUGUGUCUUCUCUCAGGGAGAGUGACUAGUCUCGAGUCAUUGGUGUGUGUGACAUCAAGACAAGUACGUAGGUGCUCAAUAGAGAAUGAGUUCACUGAACACGAUCAACGAAGAGUUCUCAUAUUCAUGUCACAUGAGAACUCAUGGUUGGGAUAAUGCAAAGUAGUCCUUUGACCUGAGGCAUCAUAGUUGUCUUGUGGUUAAGUCCUUGAUCUUUGAUUAUGUCAAAAGUCACUCCAAAAGGAGGGUGUCCACGGCAUAGUUGGGGUUAAGCCACUUAGCCAUGGAGGCAAGUGAAUGCGCAACAAGGGAUCUCUAACCUUCAAACUGUUUGAGGGAGAAUACUCUAUGAUAUGAUUAAGAAUCUCUGGCCAGAGUAUGAAUGAGAUUUAGGAAGUCGUUCCAAAUCACAUUCAAGGUAAUCAUAUAAGCACACGAAUCACAUUGGAUAGUAGACAUGAAUAAACUAUCAAACCAACCAAUGUGGUCAAGAGUAUUGUAUUAGAGAAGACCGUAUUGCAUUUGUAAUCCUAAACUGAAUAGGUUCUCCACCUCUUCUGAUUAGCUUGGGUAACCAUGAUAUGCUGCUAGGUGUCACUCAUGGUUUGUGGAAGCCCUAAACGUGUAUAAUCACUAAAGGGAGAAUUGAAAGUAAGUUUCAAUUCACAAUCGAUUUGAAAUGGUUUUAAUCGCCCACUGCCUCGCUAAAAGGAACCUAAUGGAUCGUACACUGUGUAAGGUAGAGAUUGAAGAAACAACGGAGAUGAGUAAGAAUAAUUAAAUGGUUUAAUUAUUUAUGGCAAGGAUUAAUUAAUAUGUUAAUUAAUCAAAUGAAUAAGUUCGUUAAAAGACCACGGGUUAGUUUUGGGCCUCAAGGCCCAAUGAGCUUCGAACGUCAAGCCCAUUGACUUAAGUUGUAUGACAACUUAAUGACAAAUAAUUCACAAAGGCCUUAAAAGCCCAAUGAAACCCUAUGGUCGGCCAUUUAGUUAAAGGAGUGGGUUUUGGACUUAUUUACAAGUUUGCCACUCCAAUAAAUUAAGGUAUAAAUAUGACUUUAUAGCCAAAAUUCAUUUAGGGUUUCUUUUAGGAAAUUGGAGAGAACACAAAGCUCUCCUUUCUCUCUAAAGUGGCCGGCCCCCUUGGAGGGAUUAGCUAGCAAUCCUACUACUCCAAGGUCACUCAUUUCUACCUAAAUCUAACCUUGGUGUGGAGACUUAGAGGUUCUCUAUUUUGAGAACUUGGAGAACCAUUUCAUCCAUCCAAAUCCAUAGAUCUAAGAUGCAAGGAAUGAAGGCCCUCUCUUUGGGUGAUUAGCCUUUGCUUAGGCAAAGAGGAAUCUACAAAGGUAUAAUUUCUCAACUCACUUUGAUUUGAGUUGAGUCUUGGUUCACCAAUCUACUAGGCUUUGAAUUUCAUGGUUAAUGUUUUGUUUUUAAGGCAAAGAGGAAUCUACAGGUAUAAUUUCUCAAAUAAAUGAAUCCAAGAAAUGAAAACAAAAGAUUGGAGGAUGAUUUUACCUUUGGCUGUCAGUUUUUCCGAUUUCUACCACUGAUGGGCUAUUCAACACUGCGGGGCAGUACGUUGUUCAGUUGCAGGAGGAGAAGAUUCGAGAAAUGAAAGGGUUGCGAGGGUUGAGAGAAAUGAAAAAAACAAAAAACAAAAAACGAGAGAGGAGGAGGCUGAAUUUCUAAGAGACAGAAAGAUCUUGUGUUUCUGAGAGCAAUGAAGAAGAGACAGAGAGGUCUUUUUCAUUUUCACGAAAAAUGGGGUCACAAGAGAGAGUGGGUUGAGGAAAAUUGAAGGUUUGUAUGCAGAGGGGUGCCAAACUGAGAAGGAUUAAAAGCAUUUUUAGAUUUUCUAGAGAGAGAGAGAUGGGCCAAUGGAUUGAUCUUAACCCUUGAUUUUGAAUCCUAUUGAGCUACCCUUCUUGAUGCAUGACACAGGUGCGCAUCAUCAGUUUUUUUUAUGCUUCCCUAGGACACGGUUUGAAGAAAGAGGAGAGAGCCGUUUGGGCUCUGUGUUUGCUGACUGACAAAGACAGAAGACUGAUGCCUGACGCCAAUUUCAACACGGCAUGCUAGCUGCAUGCCUUUCAAAGAAGGGCAUCCAAUGUUUUAAAAUGUUGGUGCACGCCUGCUGUACACAUGGAUUUGGUAAUAUCUCAAUCAAGUGGGCGCCAUAACUGAAAUUUUUUUUUUAACAAUUGCAUGCCAGCUGCAUACCUUUCAGAGCAGGGAAUCCAAUGUUUCAAAUGUUGGUGCACAUGUGCCUUGUACAUGGAAUUGGCGUGUGGGCCGGUUCUCAAUGCAUGGGCUUUGCGUGGCUUUUGUUCGGCCAACCAUUUAUCAAACAACAAGUUUCUACUUCCAGCCCAGGAUUUGCUAAGUGGGUCUACUCAGCCACAUGGGUUGUUUGUCAAGGCCCAACGUCGACAUGCCAUGCUGGUUUCCUAUCAAAAGCCAGGUGUCUUUCUCACUUUUAUUUUUGUUUUAUUUUAUAUUUUCAUUUUAUUUUCUUCUUUUAGUUUUGUCGGUUCUUUUUAGUGAUAGGUUUUUUUUUUUUUUGUGUUUUAUUUUAUUGUUCUCUUAGUUUUCUUUUAUUUCCCACACCUUGAGGACAAAGUGUGCAAUAAGUUUGGGGGUGGGAAAUAACAUUUUAGGUUUUUAAUUUUUGUGUUAGGUUAAAAUUUUCAUUCUUCUUAAGUUAAUAUUCAUAUAUUAUUUUAAACGUUAGAACAAAUGGACAUGGUGAAGAUUAAUCCCACAUUAGAGUUUUUGCUAUUUAUCGUUGCUUAGACACUAAUUCAUGAAUUGAUUUGAACUUUGCACAUCACACCAACAUGGUUUGUGGGGAGUGAGAUUGAAACACUUGCUUUUAGUCUAAGUUUAUUUUUAAUUUUUGUAAAGUCAGUUAUUAUUGUGAAUAAAGUAAUAAUUGUCUCACCCGAGGUUUUGCCUAGUAACCGGGCCAGUCCUGCCUAAUCAGCAAUGAUUCUCGCGUCAAACGGUAGAGUUUUGGCAUGGGGUAGGGUGGUUAGUUGGUUUCGUAGCCUUUUCAGCUCGGGUUAAUAAGUCCAUAGGGGUGUUCUACACCUAGUGCCCUAAAGCCCUAGUGGUUUGGGAGUCAUUGACCGAAAGCUCGCUACAUGGGUUGGAUUGAAAGUUUAAGUGAACCGACAUUGCACGACCACUACUGUUACUGAAAAAAUAAAAAAAAAUAAAAAAAAUUUGAAAAGAAAAAGAAAAAGAAAAAGAAAAAUAGUUAUAUUUAAAGUUAGUAUGUGUGAAAUAAAGAAGGACGAGAGGUAAGGGUUUUAGUCGAGUCUCCUUAACUAUGUGGUUCACUGUACACCAAAGGGAGUUUGUGAAUUCUUUUCUAAUUGAUUCUAAAUGGCUUAGACUCUGUGGUGGGAUUAGUUGGAACUUUUGAAAAGAUGUUCUAGUUUUUAAAAUUUGCUAUGGAUUGCAACUUGAAGGUGGAAGUUUUGUCUUGGUUGAGUUUUAGCUAGUUGUCUAGUUUGUUAAGUUUUUAUUUUUGUUUGAGUCUUGUUUUGCUUGAAGACAAGCAAAAAGUUAAGUUUGGGGGUAUUUGAUGAGAAGAUUUUAUAUUAUAUAUUUUACCCUAAUCUUAAUAUAUUUUGGUUAAUAUAUUGGAAAAAUUUUGAUACUUUGAAUUGUAUUUUCAAUAUAGGACUUUCGAAUUCCUCUGGAGCAAAACAGGACCAAAUGGACGAAUUUUGGAGUAAUUCCAGUUGGAGGACGUUCGUUAGUCACUUAGCGUAAUCGUAUCAAAAUUUGGGAUUUUUCCACCGAGCGGUUAUUUUCUGGCGAUAAAAUAAAGAAGCAGUGUGCAGUGUUGGAAAAUGACGUUUUUGGGCUUAAAUUGCUUUUUUGGAGCCCAAGAUGACCUCGGAUGGGUUCGUGGCCUUCUGGAAAAGUGUUCAGAAUAUCCCAAACAUUAAAUCCAGCUAUAUUGGGCCAGUUUUGGAGCAGCUUAUGGGUCAAAACGUGGCUGUUCAGAUUUUAGACGAAUUUUAUCAUUUAAUUUAGGGUUAUGUUUCCUAAGUUUUUGGGGGAUUUGGAUUAAUUUUAGUUUCCUAGGGUUUGUGUGGAGGCUUAGCAGAUAUAUUGCUUGGCCGUCUACCAUUUUUCUUUACGCUUUCUUUUAUGCAAUUUUGGAGACAGAGAAUUGUUAGGGUUUUGAAGACUUUUUACUUGAAGGUGCUUUCAAUCAUUUUCUUGAAUAUAUUUUCUAUGAUUUCAAUUAUGAAUAUGCGGAACUAAUUUCUUUUGCUAGGGCGAAACCUUGAGCCUUAGCAUGAAUAUGUGAUUUUUAUUUAAUUGCUUAUGAUUGAUUGCAUGCAUACUUUGAAUUGUUAAUCACCGGGAUAAAAACUAUCUAAUUGUCUUAAUGCCUGAUCACCAUUAGGAUCUUUAGAAAAGUAAUUUGAUGUAAUUUUGGUCGGAAGGUUCCCUGAAAUUGACUCUGGCUUCUUGUGAUUAAUAAUUGUAAUUUCACUUAGGAUGAAUAUCAUGUCUUAAGGAUUGCAUGGUUUUUCAAAGGAUUUUCAUAAAGCAUAAUGAGUCUUUCAUGUUCAAAUUUGAUCCGAACGUCCGGACGGGUAUAUGUUAGAUAUACGUUCUAUGUUGGAGGUUCCAAGUAGAAUAUGAAUUAGGAAAAUCUAACCUUCAAAGUGGCAUGUGUAGAUCAUAAGUAAUUGGUAAAAAUUCAUAGGAUUGCUAGGUGAUGGUGGAACCCAGUGCUUUCUUAAUUUGAUUCUCCCAACACUGUUUUCUUUUCUCUCUAGUUCCAAUAUUGCAGAUUGUUUAUUUUAAGUCAUUAAUUUCGUUUUAUUUUAAUUAGGUUAUAAAAUCAAUCACCUCAAUUUCUACUUUACAAUAAUUAAAUGGAAUCUGAUUAGUUUCAAAUUAUUUAAUAAUCCCUGUGGAGACGACCUUGCGAGAUCCGUUUAUACUACAAUAACCUUAUGAUUCUUGCAAGUAAAAUAGGAGAUUUAAGCCCGUUCACAUGAGUAGUAAAAAUCCUAUCAACGGGUAACGAGUCGGGUCAUAUUAACGGAUAAUAUUAAUGGGUCAAUUUCGAGUCGAGUCAUAUUACCUGUUUAUUUUAACGGGUGUUACAUGACACGACCUGUUAAGUUAUUGGUUAUGACACGAAAAUGACACAAAUGAGAGAAACACAACACGAAUGCCAGGUUUACGAAAUUGUACCUACAAAACAAAUAAACACCUUUAAUCAAACCACACACGCCCAUGAGGAGAUGGAGGCAGGCCCCAGGGUGGGUUGGCCAAUGGAUCUCCAAUGCUUAAAUCAGUUUCUCUUAAAAGAGAGAGCGAGUUUAGGGCUUAAGUGUGUAGCAAAAGCUUACCAAAAAUUGGUAUAUAUGUGGUAUUUAUGGAGUUAGGGCCACAUGUGUAGGGUUUUGCACUGACAUGUGUGGGCAUCCGAUUGGAUAAGGUGAGUCAUCUGUAGGAUGGAUGGGGAAAGAAUAAUCUCAAAGAUAUUAUUUAGUAAACAAUAUCGGGGGAUUAUAUUGGAAGUAUCAUUAAUUAGAUAUGAUUGUGAUUCCUUGCCUGUUUGAGUUGAUCUUCAAUUAGGAGAGUAUUAAAGAUAGAACUUAGUAAUUAAUCCUAUCUUUAAUGCCUUUGACUUUUCUCCUUGACAUGGGCAAGGGAGCUUGAUGAUGUUGUAAUCAGCUGCUCAUGCCUUCAAGGAUCGUGGACUACACAUGGAAAAUCUUGUGGACUUCGUCAAAUUAGUAACGGCAAUCUUGUGUUCUUCGUGAAAAAAACCCACAAGUUAGUUUCAAUGUUUUUCGAAUUAUUUUUUUAUUCCACAAAUGCCCCAACACCUACUGGGCUGCUCGCAGAAAAGGGCAAAAGGUGUGGAAAUCCCAAGUUGAGUGGAUAAGCCAAAAGUUGUUUCCUUAUUGGCUUUAGAUUCUGAGCUUUGACUUGAAUUUACAGUCUUUUAGGAAAGAGAAACAAACUGCAUCUAGUACUUAUUUAAGUGUACCUUAAGUGGAGAAUUAAAUUAAUUCAAAGAACAAUUGUUCUCCCCAUAAGAAAGAGAGAAAACAAGAGGAAAUUGUAGCCCUCCCUUAGUCAAAUUAUGGGGAAUACUAAAAAAUAAACUGUUAACCUAGGUGAAAUCAACAUAUCUAGAAGCUUCCAAUGAGCUCAUCAAAUUAUGAAACUCCAACUUCAAAACUUCUUUAAACUCAACAUUUUCAAUAAUUAACCCAAAUCACAUAUCAACAUUUUUUGGAACCACACAAGAACUUUUAUAGCAAACCUAACAAGUAUCAUCUAGACAACGAUCAAACACGGGAGGAAGAUCAUGAUUUAAGCAAUAAUCACCUAAAGAAAUUUCAAGACAUAUUGGACCUAAACUAUCCAAGCAAGGAUCAAAUAUUGAUGAAGAUUUAUAUUUAGACCUUAAGUUAUGGAUAGCUGCGACAUAUUGAUGUUGUUACCCUUGAUAUGGUGUCACCAUUGGAUCAAGCUAACACUCUGAUACCAACCGAUGCAUGGCUCACCGUGGUGAAAAAUAAAUUGAAAAUAAAACGAAAAGUAUAUGGUAGAUAGAUAGGGUCUGCUAUUUCCUAGUGAAAAGAGAGACCUGAAACCUUUAGAAUUUCGCUUCUAGUACUAGCCUACGACGUAGACAACUAAAAGAACAAAGCAACAAACUCUUAAACAAGAGCAAGACACUUAAAAAUGAGUUUACAACUCAAAUUUGAAUAUAAUAAUUCAAACAACUUCUCCUCUUUUUCUGCCUUACAAAUAUUUGUGUUUAUAGGCUUACAAUUUGAAUUGACAAAUAUGAAAAGACAAAUAAAAAGCUUACAAUAUAACUCCUAGAAGACUAAAAGAUGCUAGAAAAAUUAUUUAGGUAGAAAUCUCAUUAGCCACAAAUUUUCAGUUGGAUACAUUGUAUUACAUCUCAAAAAAUGCAGGAAUUUUAUUAUAAAAUUUAAAUCGCUUGAUUCCAUAGCAGCCAUUAAUUUCAUAUAACAAUGAUUUUAGUCCAUGGCCUGCAUCAAAUAUCCUUACAUAAGGAAGCACAUGUGCACUAGCCAACAUAGAUAUACUAAUAUUUGCUAAGAUCAACUGUUUUAUUUAUAUGUUUUUUAAGUAUAACAAUAUAUUUUACACUAAGGAAAUGAGAAGUUCGGUUAAGGCACACAAUAGACAACCUACUUUGGUAUCAAAUUUGCCAUCUAUAAAAUUCAAAUCUAAAACCUUUCACUUACAAGUGAAGAGGAAUACCAUUAGACUCGUAGUACUAAGUUACACUUUAUUUAUAUGUUUAAGUAUACUAUUUGAUGCCUAAAGCCAACCAAGGCAUCAAACCAACCAAUUUGAACUCAAAUAUAUUUAAAAUUCCAUUCACUAAUUAAAAAAGACAAACCUAAUUAAAAUUUCACCAUUUUGCCAUACACACAAAUUCACUUUGGAUGAUUUUAAACUGACUAAUUGUAACGGUACUCUUCAGUUCUCUCGUUUCAUGUUGCCGGGAGAAUCGUAGCUGACCAGUUCCCGCUUCCUACUCCGCCUCUGCACUUGCAUAGCCCUGAGAGAGCUUCAUAGCUAUGGCUGCCCUGCCUUCUCUCCAAAACCCCUAUUUCCUAUCCCUUAAACCUCCCCUGCAAAGCUCCACCUUCGUCUUCCCCGACCAAGCCCGCUCCUUUUCUUCGUUUUCUACUUUGUCUAGGCCUCAACGACGUCGUCUCAGGCUCACAAACAGACCCAUUGCUGCCUCUCCUAAGGGAAAUCUAAAAUCAUCUUUCGGUCAAUACACUAUUCGUUUUACUCGAUUGCCCAUCUUCUGUUUGAUGAAAUGCGCGAAUGAGUUGUGCUUUGCUUUAGGAAAACUUGGGUCUUCUGAGAAAAACAUGGAGUGAUGUAACUAGCUUGAACAACUGGGUUGUUCGGGACUACUACUGUCUUGUGAAGUCCGUAAACGAACUCUGAGCAUCAAAUACAGAGUCUCUCUGAUGACCAGGUUUGUUGGUUUUGGCUCUAUUGUUUGUUUGUUGUAUUGAAUUUCUUUUGGCUGUUUGAAAAAUGGGUUGCUUUUGUUUCUUGUAGCUUACUGCUAAAACUGCAGAUUUCCGGAAAAGGCUGGGAAAGGGGGAGACACUUGCUGAUAUCCAAGCUGGAUGCAAUCUUCUCUGCUUACUAGAAUAUUUUCCAAUGUUGUAAUAGGAUUCUAAACUUUUGGAGUAAUUCUGUUUCUUCAAUUAUAAUGUUUACAGAGGCUUUUGCCGUUGUUCGUGAACCUGCAAAAAGGAAGCUUGGUAUGCACCAUUUCGAUGUGCAGGUUUCUGAUUUCUUGCUCUCAUUGUGUUCACAAUUACAUUUGCAGUUGUACAUAUGGUUUCUACAUAUGUAACUUAUGUGUAUCUUGUCAACUUAAUGUUUCUUUUUCAUGUUUAUAUGUGUUGUCAAUGUUAAUACCAGAUUAUUGGUGGGGCAGCGCUUCAUGAUAGGUCCAUUGCAGAAAUGAAAACGGGAGAGGGAAAAACGUUGGUGUCCACCUUAGCGGCAUAUCUUAAUGCCCUGACAGGUGAAGGCAUUCAUGGUAUGUUUUCUGUGUUGGAUCUUAUAAAAGAUUUUUUUAUUUGUAUGCAAGUGUAGUACAAUGGGUGGAAUGCCCAAUUGCUUGCACUGGUACCUUUUCUUUUCGUGUAGAUUUCUCAAAAUUUGAUUUCUUAAUUUGCUCUCUGUUGAAACAGUGGUAAACCGUAAAUGAUUACCUUGCACAACGAGAUGCUGACUGGAUGGGUCAUGGUCAUCGCUCUUUGGGACUUACUGUGGGUCUUGUUCAGGUAAUUUCCUCUCUAUGUUUUUUUUUUUUUCUUUUUUUUCUUUUUUUGCAAUAGACUUGAUUCCUAAUUAUGAGAGACAUGGCAGCCUGCAACUGUUUAACUUGCUUACUUCACUUCAAUUUAUUUAUGUAUGUAAUUCAAUGUUUAUUUUAAUUCCUAUGUGCAAUGUAGAGGGGGAUGACAGCUGAAGAGAGGAGAUCCAACUAUAGCUGUGACAUACCGUACACUAAUAACUCAGUAAGUCAUUUCUACUGCUUGUGUGGUAGUAUUUGCAUUACUCUUUGUGCUAGUUGCCUAGAAACCUCUUGUUUUUCUUUCUAAUGUUUGCUCGUCUGGUGUAGAUGUUUACUGGUAAGUUCGUUCCCACCAAAACAAAAAAAGAAGAAAAUUCUGUCUUUCUGAUAUUUCAUUCAUAGUGAUUCCCUCAGGAACUUGGUUUUGACUAUCUACAAGAUAACCUUGCUGGAAACAGUGAACAUCUUGUUAUGAAAUGGUACUCAAAUAAUUUAAGUUCAUAAAUACUUGUAUUUUUAAUCUAUUUCUAAUGUCAGCAGUUUUACUUUGCAAAAACAGGCCAAAGCCAUUUCAUUUUGCAAUAGUUCAUGAAGCUGACUCAGUUCUUAUUGAUGAAGGACGAAAUCCAUUGCUAAUUAGUGGGGAGAUAAAUUUUUUGUAAGGUUUUUUUAUUAUUUUAUUAUUUUAUUUUUAUUUUUAUAUAUACUUUUUAUAUUAUAGUUUAAAUGCUAAUUUAUUUUUCUUUUAUCAGUAGCUUAAUCUAUUAUGGUAAUGUGUAAUUUCAUUUGUAAAAAGAUCUCGUUGUUGUACAUAUUGAUUACUAAAUGUUGUCCUUCUAUCUCAGGCUAGUAAAGAUGCUGCAUGAUAUCCUGUUGGUGCUAAAGUGGCUGAUUUGCUUGUGCAAGGAAUUGUGAGACUAGUCUCUUUCCUAUUAUUUUCAGAUAAACUCUGGUGUAGCUAUUCGUUUGUUUUUCCCCAUGCAUAUGUAUAUAUAGGAAUAGGAGGGAGAAACUUCAGAAGGGGAUCCUGCUCCAUUGUUCAUGGAGUGGGAUACUCUAUACGUCAUCAAUGUGUCAUCUGUAAUUCUGUGUUAUUGAUAUCAUGUCGAUAUGGUGUUGAUAUGUUAAGAUUAACUUUUAUGUUUCAUAAUCAUUGACAUUACAGCAUUACAAUGUUGAACUUAAAGAUAACUCAGUUGAGUUGACUGAAGAAGGAAUAGCUCUUGCUGAGAUGGCCCUUGAAACCAAUGACUUGUGGGAUGAAAGUGAUCCUUGGGCUAGGUAUUGACCAAACUCAACCUUUCUUAUACAAAUUAAGCCCUCUGCUUCAUCUUUACACAUAAUACACCAUUUGAGUGAUAGGCACAUUAUAGGCCUUCUUCGUUAAAUAUCACAAGUGCUUGACCUUCCAUCAGCAAUUAACCGAGCAAGUACUGAAGUUUAAAAUGUGGCCAAUAGGCAUAUAAAGCCGUAUGCUUUUGUCUCAACAUAUAUAUAUAUAUAUAUAUAUAUAUAUGCAUAUAUGUAUUAUGUGGAAUAUUAUUUGGAAAAGAUAAACUGUGUUAUGCAUCAUAAUUUUAGGUACCCUAAAUGAAUCAAGGAAAGACCAAUUCAAUAUUUCUCUUUCCUCGAUUGAUAAGUGGAUUGUACCCAAAUGCCACUUGUAUAAAUUGUGAAUUGUCUUGGAUCUAGUCAUUGUGUGUCUUAUAUUGACGAGGAAUAGAAUCAUAGAAAGAAAUGUGAAUCAUAAAUCCAUUGAUGCUGCACUUUAUAAACAAGUAGAAAUUAUCAUAGAUAUGAGAAACUGAAAGUUCUUAAAAUAUUUGCAGCGGACUGGCAGAGUUGAGGAGAAGAGAAGGUGGUCUGAGGGGAUUCAUCAGGCUGUGGAGGCUAAAGAAGGCUUGAAGAUUCAGGUACCUCCAUGAAGUACCUGAAGUUUUAUUUUCACCACACUUCAUUACAUGAAGUAUUACCAUCCUAGUUCAAAGUUGUAAUAUCAGUAUACUUGUUAGGCUGAUUCGGUUGUUGUGGCACAAAUCACUUAUCAAUCUUUAUUCAAGCUCUACCCAAAGCUGUCAGGAAUGACUGGAACUGCAAAAACGGAAGUAUGUGUGUUUACAAGCAUUCCGAUGUAUUUUUCAAAGUAAAUUUUUUGCUUAACUUGUAUUCAUAAUUGCAGAUCUCUUGUAAAUUUUCCCUUUAAUAAUUUCAGGAGAAAGAGUUCUUGAAAAUGUUUCAAGCGCCAGUCAUUGAGGUGCCAACGAAUCUGCAAAACAUUCGUAAUGAUUUACCAAUUCAAGCUUUGCAGGAGGAUAUUUAGUGCUCACCCUUAAUUAUAUCUGGCAUUUAUAGAUUCUAUGCCUCCAAAUUCCAAUAAAGUCUAUCAUCAACUUGACAUAAGGUUUCGGUUUGUACUAUUUUAGACUGCUCAAGGGAAGUGGAAAUAUGUUCGUCAAGAAGUGGAAUACAUGUUCAGACAGGGGCGUCCUGUUUUAGUUGGAACUACCAGGUAAAUCUAAGUUAAUAUAUUUAGAUUCUUGCACCUGGUUCUGUGAUAAUAGAUUGGCUGCCACGCCAUAACCUUCUUAUAAUCAUAAAUACCACGCAAGUUAAACUUUAGAAGUUUUGUACUUUGUGACCAUGAGGAGUUUGCAUUGUAUCAUCCCAGAUGCAAAAUCCUAUAUCUUUUAUAUCAUCCCAGAUGAGGAAUCCUAUAUUUUUUAUACCAUCCCAGAUGCAGAAUCCUAUGUCUGUUUCGACUUUUAUUAAUUUCCCAGCUGUAUAUGUUUUCUACUGAUAGGUCAUGGAGGGAUGACAAUAAAAUAUUAAAGAUAGUUGAAUCAGAAAUGCAUAAGAUCUCGUGUUUCAGAUGCUGCUGAAACUUUUUUCAGUCUCUAUUUCAAACUCUGUCAACAUGGUUAUAUGGGUGGAGGCAUGUUGUUUCAUGUGCUUCUGGAGAAAUUCUAAUGGUAUUCGGACCAAGUAGCAUAUCGUUGAUCAAAAAUACUUGUUUAUUGGAUUAAACUAAAUCAGGUUUACACUGAAUAAGUUUAUGCAUAUGUAGGAGAUACUAGUAUUUGCUCAACUUCACGUUUUGAGUAACUAUGAUAUGUCAUCUUAAUAUUGCAGUGUUGAGAAUUCCGAGUACUUGUCUGAUUUGCUUAAGGAACGAAAUAUCCCCCACAAUAUUCUAAAUGCACGGCCUAAGGUUUAUUGAAAUUUGACUUGAUUAGAGCUUGCAUGUGGCAGCCUAUCAUAUUUUUACUAUAAUACUCAUUUGACAGUUUGGUUUUACAUUGCCGUUGUGUUUAUGUACUUUUCUCAUCAGUAUGCUGCAAGGGAGGCUGAAAUUGUUGCCCAAGCAGGAAGAAAAUAUGCCAUUACCAUUUCUACCAAUUGGCUGGCAGAGGCAUUGACAUAAUUCUAGGAGGAAAUCCAAAAGUAAGUGCCUUUGUCUUUUGUUAAUUUUUUUCAAAAUGAAGCUACCCAGUAUUUCCAGGAAUCUCUUAGACUUGUACUUCAUGUAUAUGCAUCUAUCAUCUUUAUCUGGAUUUGGUGUGGAGAAGUAGAAACUAAACAGCGGUUUAAUUCCUUUUGUACUUGUAAUGAUUGAAGAUGCUUGGAAAAGAGACCAUAGAGGACAGUUUAAUUUCGUUCUUGACACGAGAAGCUCCUAAUAUUGAUGUUGACGGAGAGGCAAUUUCACAAAAGGUAAUUCAUUUUUUUGUUGAACCACGCUUCAUACCAAUUUGAAUCUAUUUUAAUUAAUCAUUUGUUGUAGGUAUUGACCAAGAUAAAGGUUGGUCCAUCAUCAUUAGCUUUUCUUACACAUAUCCUAAAUGUUCUUGACCAUAAGGUUGCCAAUUAGACAUUCAUGAUCCGCUUAGAUCAGUACUUGCUAUGUCUUCUCUAGGGAAGAGUGACUGGUCUCGAAUCAUUGGUGUGAUUCACAUUAAGGCAAGUAUAUAUGUAGGUGCUCAAUAGAGAAUGAGUCCACUGAACGUAAUCAACGAGGAGUUCUCAUACUCAUGUCACAUGAGAACUCAUACUUAGGAUAAUGCAAAGUAAUCCUUUGACCUGAGGCAUUAUAGUUGUCUUGUAGUUAGGCUGGCCUCCUAUGAUUAGUGGGCUAAUUUCCCAUUUUGUUUUAGUUGUUACACAAUUUACACUCAAUGGGCCUCAUGGACCAAAACCACUUGGGACCCUGAAAUCAGAAACUAACUUAAAGCCCAUACGAACCUUUUGUAUGAGUUAAUUAAUAUAUAAAUUAAUUCUCAUUUACAAUUAAACUAUUUAAUUGUCCUUACUCAUCUUCGUUAUAUCCUUCAAUCAUUACCUUACACGGUGUGUGAUCCAUUAGGUUCCUUUUCACGAGGCAGUGGCCGAUUAGAACUCGUACUAAUCGAUGAGUGACACCUAACAGUAUUUCAUGUCUACCUAAGUUAUUCACAAGACGUUUGGAGAACCGAUUUAGAUUGGCAUUAAAAAUGCAAUACGAUCUUUUUUUUUUAAUUCAAUACUCAUGAUCACAUCGUUUGGUUUGAUAGUAUAUUCAUGUCUACUAUUCAAUGUGAUUCUCUUGCCAAUAUGAUUACCUUGAAUGUGAUUUGGAACGUCUUCCUAAAUCUCAUUCAUACUUUGGAUAGAGAUUCAUAAUCAUAUCACAGAGUAUUCUCCCUCAACUGUUUGAAGGUUAGAGAUCCCUUGUUGUGCAUUCAACUGCCUCCAUGGUUAAGUAGCUUAACCCAAUUAUGCCGUGGGUACCCCUCCAAUUGAGUGCCCUUGGCACUGUCAAAGAUCAAGGAUCUAACUACAAGACAACUAUGAUGCUUAGGUCAAAGGAUUACUUUGCAUUAUCCUAAGUAUGAGUUCUCAUGUGACAUGAGUAUGAGAACUCAUCGUUGAUUACGUUUAGUGGACUCAUUCUCUAUUGAGCACCUACAUAUAUACUUGCCUUAAUGUGAAUCACACCAAUGAUUCGAGACCAGUCACUCUUCCCUAGAGAAGACAUAGCAAGUACUAAUCUAAGCGGAUCAUGAAUGUCUAAUUGGCAACCUUAUAGUCAAGAACAUUUAGGAUAUGUGUAAGAAAGAGAAUGACCUCAUGAAUCUAACUUCUUUAGAUCGUAUUCUCCUAAUUACAUUUUCUUUAGACUUAUCGUUUCAGCAUGUAACAUUUAAUAAGAGGACUUUAAACAAUAAUCAUUGCCCUUACAUUAAACUAGUUUAGUUUAACAUGUGAAAUGUCUGUAAAGUUUCAUCUUAUGAUUGAGUUUAGGGCACAUUUCCAACAACGUUUGUCAAGUAAUAUUUUUUCGAAUCAAUGUUACCUAGGGGACUUCUAGCUUUGUCCCACACCUAAAAGCUUGUUCGAGCCAAAGACCAACCUUACAUGUAUGUUCACAUGCACUUUCUACAUCGCUUUUGAUCCAAAGUUAGGUGCUAUCCUGUCCCUAAGGUUGAUGUUAGGACUUGAAUGUGAGUGCCUACCGGUACUAGAAUGAAAACCUACACCUAGCUUGUUGAUGUAGCUACUUUUUGCAUGACUUGUGUGUCUACAUAGAUUUAUGAACAUUGUCUUUAUGUUGUGAUAUAUGUUGUAUACGCCUCCCAUAUCCUUUGAUUUACUCUAUGUGCUAGGUACUAUAUUGUAUGCGUAGUAGUAUUUUAUUAAAAACUAUACCUAUUUUACAACGAGGAGUUACACCGUUUUCUAAAAUGGUUUUACAAAACUCUAUUUUUAUUAGCCUACUCACCUUUAUUUUUAUGAGGUAUAUAGUAUGCAAAUUACUGAUUGCUCAACAUGGUCAGUAAUUUAGACUGACAAUAAAUAUCAUUGACUAUAUGCAAUGCAAUGCAUUACCUUGAUUCACUGAUAAAUGCACUUACUAUAUAUCACUUAUCAUAAGCACCAUUGGAAUUGCAGCCUUACAAUGGUAUUAUUUGUUUUCAACAAAAACAGUAACUCAAGAAAAAAUAAGUACUUAUAAUUGAAAUAAUAUGUGCUAUUUCAAUUACAGCCAUUUCUCUUAUCAUAAUUCAAUAGUAAUAUCGAUAAUUUAGUUAUAUAUAAGUACUUAUAAUAAGAGCAAUAUCCUAUAAUUAGGUAAGGUAGUGAUCUAACAAUUAGGCGAGUAUUUCUUGCCUAGAUAUUAAUCUUGUUCAGUAAAACAAAAUGCAAUUAUUUCUUGAGAAAUUCAUUUCUCUAGUGAUAUAUACUCAUUUGACAUUAGUCAUCAUAAUUUUUAUAGCAUGUUAUGUAAUCACAUGUAGCAAUGGACUGAUUACAAUCCAUUGACUUGACUCUAUGUUUGUCAGCAUGGCAUGGUCUAAUAUAUUGACUUGCGGUUUCAAUAUUAGUGAUUCAAUACCUAUGUGACAGGUACUAUAUUGUAUGCAUAGUAGUAUUUUAUUAAAAACCACCUAAUUUACAACGAGGGGUUACACCGUUUUCGAAAGCAGUUUUACAAACUUUAUUUUUAUGGACCUGGCUUCUCUGCCCUCCCAAUUCCCAUACACUCCUAUGUCCUCCUAUUUUGUACAGUUACGGUUAAGCCACGUCAACAUUUUAUAUUGAUUUUUUUAUAGAGAUAAUAAGACAAAAAACAAUAGUGGUAUAAAAUAUUGACGUGGUUUAACCGUGACCGCACAAAUAAGAGGGGAUGAGAGUGUAUGGAAACUGGGAGGGCAGAGAAGCCAUGUACUAUUUUUAUUAGCCCCUUCACCUUUGCUUUUCAGCUCUCCAUGACCCAGAGACUGAGCUACUAGGGAGUCGAGGAAACUUUGGAAUUUAGUUGACCGGGCUACGAUCAAAGUAGGCUACUUUACUUUUUUGUAUUAUUAACCAUCCUUUCCAGGGUGCGACGACUUUUACCUUACUGCACUAUGCUCUAAUAUUAUUGUUGUGUAAUAUGGAUUUCAACCCCUUCACGUUGUGCACUCUUACUUUAUUUAGUUCAAGUUCAAAUUUAUUUGCACUUUUCACAUCAACUACACUUAAUGGCUUCGUCACCUUUCAUAUGUCAGCUAUCACAUCUCGACUUGGGUGUACACAUAGAUAUUUUAGGUCGGGGUGUGUCAUAAGUUUAGCCUAAAUACCUUUAAUUUUGACAAUUUGCCCAUAGUAAUACUUUUACUCCACUUACUUGAAGAAUACUGUGAGAUUUAUAACAUGUCAAGUUUGAGUUAACAAUUAAAUAGUAAGAAGUGUUACAUUAAUCUUGUACUCUAACCUUUUCACUUUAGACAGAUGUGAUGCCUAUAAAUUGACAAAAAAAUGCAAUUUUAUUUAUAUUUGAAACUUGAAUACAAUUUGAAUUUGUUGUAUAUUUCCACAUGAAAUAAGAGAUUAGUCAUCGUAUUUAGAAAAGUUGUUUGGUCACUAUUAAUAUUUUUCUCAAGGUUCCAAAAGAAGUUAGACGCUAGUCAGGCAGUAGAUUGGGGCCUAACGCCUAGGCGGUUAGGCGGGCGCCUAGACAAACUAGGCAGGUGCCUAGGCGGAUUAGGCGUACUAGGUGGAUUUAAGUAAAUAUAUCAUAUUUUGUGUAAAUAAGUGUCUAUUUAUACUUAAAUAUAUAUAAUUUCAUCAUACACUAAGAAAUAGAAUGACCUAUAUAUUAUGAAGUAUUAAAAUAUAAUGAAAACAUGAAGAACAAGCAUAUAAUGUGUGUUCAUUUAAGUAUUCAACAAGUGUCACAGCCCGUCCCGGAAUUUUAAUUCCGAGGACGUGAAAAGACCAAAAUGCCCUUAAGCGGGACUAAGGGGCGAAAAUUUAACAAUUAGAUUUAUAUUUGUAUGUGUUAAAUUGUGUUUGGACUUAGGUAGGGCCUCCUACCCUCAAAACAUUCCCUAAAACCCGUAACCUUUCCUUCUCUCUCUUUUUCUUCUUUCAUCUCAGAAAACUCUCUCACUCUCUCUCUUACUCUCGAACUCACGGCAACCACCAAGAACCACCACAAUCUUGUACGAACGUUCCAUUUAAGACCACCAUCGUGAUCCUGAGGACUUCACGAGCUCGGGGAUACCAAACUCAGGUGAGUUUCACUUCGGAAAACCCUAGUUUCAGUGUCACCGUAAUAUUGCACUAUUCACGAACUUCAAAUUGGCUUUGUUAUAGGCCAAACCAAGCUUACAGUGAGCUUAAGGAAGUCCCAAGGAAGCUCGGAGUGCUUCGUUGGAAGUUUUUGGACGUAAGAACACGGAGAUCGACAAGUUCAAAGUUUGGCCGGAGCUUUCGAGGCUCUUUCCGGCGAAUCCCCGGCGAGUUAGGAGUUGAGGUAGGUAUCAAUCUCUUCGUCUCGUCAAGUACUACAACUUUCCUUUUUGUUUCACUCAAUUUCGUUGAGUAUUGAAGAAGUUAUACUCAUUUGAAAAAUACCCAGUUUCCGGCGACCUCCGAGGCUUUCGAGGCAGUUUCCGGCCAAACCACGGCGAACUAGGUGUUGUGAAAGGUACCAUUCUCUUUGUCUCUUCAAGGGCUACAACUUUCGUUUUUGAAUCACUUGAUUUCGUUGAGAAAUGACAAAGUUAUGGCAAUUUGAAAAACUGCCCAGAAAACGGCCGCCGGAAAAACCAGUCCGGCGACCCAAGGAAGAAGAUGAUGCGCGUGGGGGCGCGUGGGCCGUGCUUGUCUUGGCGCGUGGGGCGCGUGCUACAGUAAAAAAUUAUUUUAAAAAUAUGUCGACGUCCGUGACGUCGAGUAGAUCACUGUGGUAUAUUCAUAUACCCAAUUUGAGCAAUAUAUGAGGAGUUAUUAGCUAAGAGUGGGAUUAUGCGUUAAAUAACGUCAAUUUGGUUACUUCUCGUAUAGGCGAGGAUUAUACGGACGUUGGGCAUGGCUAAGGGAGGCUCAGGGACCUUCGACACGUCGAUGUAAUCUGUGAGUGGGCAGUUUUGUUUUCCGUAUAUAUAUAUACUUGACGUUUCCCAGAAAUUGAAUUGAAAUGAAAAUAUGUUUAAAAUGAAAUGCAUAUGAGUUAUGUGGAAAAACGGGAAGUGAAAUACCACCAUGCAUAGAAUUGAUAUGAAAAGUAUAUAGAAAUGUGAGUUGAAAUGCCAUGCAUGAAUUAAUAUAUGAUGCAUAUGUAUGAAUUGGUGCGGUGGACGCACAGGUAAGAAUUGAUUUAUGAUGCAUAUAUAUGAAUUGGUGCGGUGGACGCACAGGUAAGAAUUGAUUUAUGAUGCAUAUGUAUGAAAUGGUGCGGUGGACGCACAGGUGAGUAUUUAUUUCUGUUAUGAUGAUGUUGAUGUAUAUUGAGCUCAAAUCCUGCACCAUAGUUUAGUGCUUUAUAGUAUUCACCGCAUCGCACGCUCGUCUUGGAUCCAAGUAGAUGCUAGUCGUACAGUCCACGCGGAGUGGGUACGACAGGCCAGUCGCGAGAGUGUUAGUGAGAUUCCGACUGGUGGGUGACCUUAGAUUAUGUGCACAGAUGAUUUAUGAGAAGCACUAGAGCGUAACUUGUGUGCAGAAGGCCGUACAGGUCACGCGGAGUGACUCCGGCAGAGUGUGAGAGUGAUAGAUUUUGAGCUCUAGGUUCAACCGGGCUAAUAGAGGGCCUCCGGUUGAUUAUCUUAUUGCACCUGAUAUGAUUUAUGUUGAUGCAUUCAUACCUUAUUACUGUUGAGAUGAUGUGGCAUGGCAUAAUUAAUAUGAGAAAUGUUGAGAUGAUGUGGCAUGGCAUAAUUAUGAUGAAAAUGUUGAGUUAAUGAAUUGAAGUAUUGAGAAUAUAUAUAUGUAUAUUUAUAUUUUAUAUUUCUGGGAAAGUAUACAGGUUUUACGGAGAGGGGUUACAACGUUUUGAGAAAUGUUUGGAUUUGGAAAAGAAUUGUUUUACUGACCCACUCAAUUUUGGUUUUGCGCCCCUCCAGGUUCAGGAAUCAUAAAGGUGUGGUGACUACGAGGAAAUUGACGGUGUUCUGACAGAUUGGACAAAAUUAGGACUCACCUUCGGGUGUAUCAACUUAUAAAUUGUAUCUUAAAGCUUCCGUACUGUGCAAAUGGUUACGUCACUCUCACGUGACGGCCAGCAUGCCCUCCUUCGGGACGGGGUGUGUCAGUUGGUAUCAGAGCAUGGUUGCAAUCUUGGACAUCUUGAGAAGUUCUAGUGAAUUCUGUCAGAACUACACCGCCUCGUAGUAAGCCACUUAGUUAGAGGAAUUUAGUCUCCCUAAUAUAGCGGUUUAGGGGAAACUAUUAUUAUGGUGAUUCAGUCUAUUAUAAAAAGGGACAUUUUAAGACGGGUUAUGAGUCGAAUUUGAAUCACCUUAUGGAAUGAUGAACCUGAGGGAGCGAAGUAACGGUUUAACCAUUUGGAAAAGAUGUUUCAGAUUAUGCAAGUUAAAGGAAAUUUCCUUCUGACAAGGGGUCGAGACGACUACCUGGUUUUGGGUAUGAAUUUGUAUCCUGGUGGAAACAGGAGUAUGAUUUGUUGUCACCGGAGGAACAGUCGAUUGAGAAUUGUUUAAGGACUUGUUUAAGGAAAAGUUUAUCCCUCCGGCAUUUAUCGAUGGUAGUAAGCAAGAGUUUGCAAAUGUGAAUCAAGGAAGUUGACGAUAAAUGAAUAUUAUAGAAAGUUUUCAGACUUGCCUCGUUCCAUCCAGAUAUUUGAGACAAGGUGUCUCGAGUAAAGGAAAUGUACCUUGUGCAGCAGGUACAAAAUUAACACUUUGAGAAAUGUGAAAUUAAUGAAUGUGUUUAUGUGGAUAGAGGGGACGCAGAAUUGUGAAUUGUCCCUAGAAUCAGUUGUACUCAACAAUUUUCCAUGAUAUCAUAGUGUCGAUUCAGCAGAGUUAUGGACUUAGUAGUUUGGUCGGAUUGACCGUGAGUACAGAGAGAUUUGAUGAGUUAUAUGUUCAGCCGUACAGACCAUGAGAAAUGGAUUCGACUGACACAUGAGAAAUUGGUGAGUUAUAGGUUCGGCCGUACCGACCACGCGGAGUGGAUCCGGCCGACGUAUUAUUGAGAUAAGAGUUGAAUCAGCCGUAUUGAUCAUUCUAGUUGACUUCGGCUGAUAUAUUUCUUAUUAUGUAUGUUAUAUCUUUGAGAGUGGUUGCCUACUUAUCGAGACAACGAUGAUUUAUUAGUAUUGCGGGCUGCAGACCGUAAUAUUAAUACUCAUUCGUGGAUUCGUUAAGCAAGCAACCCGGUAGAUUAUUUUAUGUUAGUAUUGUACUUAUUCAGAAUGUUCAGUAAUAAUAAAGUAUGUAUUGGGUCAGUUAAUUUUAUUCCAUUAGAUUGAUUGUUUAUAGUUGUGACUAGAUGGAAUGUUACGAGAAACCAGUUACUUUCCAUCGAGUUGAUUAAUUAGAGGUUACUUUGGUGGGGCAUACAAAGUGAAAUGAGUUCAGCCAUUAUUUAUGCUGUGAAAGCAAAGAUAUUGUUUUGAAAGGCUGCCCAAACAUACUUAGUUCAUGUGGUGCUAAAUGAUGUUGUUUGGAGUAGUGUGAAUAAUGUCGAAAGGGUUAGACUUUUCUUGAUGUCUUCCCUGAAAGUAUACCUGGAUUGCCUUCAGGCAGAGAUAUGAGAUUCACUAUUGAUUUGUUGCCAGGUAUAAAUUUAUGUUAAAGAUUGGUUCAUGAUGAGUUAAGGGAAUUGGAAAUUCAGUUGAAAGAAUUGGUUGAUAAAAGUUUUAUUCAACCUAGUACAACGCUUUGGGGGAGCCCCAGUUCGUUGGUGAGGAAGAAAAUGGAUUUUAAGACUGUUCAUUGAUUAUAGACAAUGGAGUCGGGUAACGAUUAAGAACCGUUAUCCAUGGUGAUGUACUGAUGUUUAUUUAACCAGCUCAGAAGUAAUUGCGAAGAUUCAAAGAUUGAAUUGAGAUCUGGUUACUACCAAUUGAAUAUUAUAAGUGACGUUGAUCAUAAGAUGGUUUUCUGGACUUGUUAUGGUCCUUAUGAAGUUUGGUGAUGCUAUGUGGAUACUCAUGCUGUUUUAUGAGUUGAUGGAUGAAGUAUUCCAAUAAUGCCUUGAUAAAUUGAUAUCAUUCUUAUUGAAGAUAUUCUGGCAUAUUCUGAGCCAGAGCAGAGCAUGUAAACGUAUUAAGUCGGUGAAGCAAAGAUUGAGAGAACGUUGGUUGUAUGCUAAGUAGCAAAUGCUAAAGUUAGAUGAAUCAGGUGGCAUUCUGAGAUUUGUUAUAUAUUCUUAAGGUAUUUAAGUGAAUCCUUAAAAGAUAGCAGAAAUUGAGAAUUUGGAACAACCACGAGUCGUAAUUGAGAUUUGGAAUUUCUUAACUUACCAGGCUAUCUUGGAUGGUUGUGAAAGAGUUUUAGUCAUUGCUUUGUCAUUGACGAGACUGUUGAGAAAGGAGGUUAUGUAUGAGUAGGAAGGAAAUUGUGAGUAAAGGAUUCAACAACUGAAGUAUUUCCUCACUCAUGCACGUAUUUUAGUAAUCCCAGAGAAUAGUGGUAAUCAUAAAUUUUUAGUGAUGUUUCUUGAAUGGUAUUGGAGGCAUGUUGAUGCAAAUGUUAGGGUGAUUGCAUACAUUUCACGAUAAUGGAACCUCAUGAGAUGAAUUACCCUACGGGUGACUUAGAAGUCAUGAUUACCAUUCUUGCUGUGAAGUUAUGAAGGCAUUAUAUUUGGUAAGAAUGCAAGAUUUUACGAAUCCAAAAGUCUUCAAUAUUCAUUACUUGGAAAGAUUUUGAUAUAAGGCAGCGAAAGUGAAUUGUAUUGUUAAAUGAAUAUGAUUGUACGAUCAGGGUGAUCGUGAAUUGUUGUAGCUGAUACACUUGGUGAAAAGAUUGCAGUAAGAUUAAUGUCAGGCACGCUUGCCAAGAUUAUCUUCUCGUGGAUUGAAAAUCAAUUAAAGUAAAGUUAAGAAUGAAAGAUCGAGAAGAAGUUAUACUUGUUAAUUUUCAAGUUAGGCCUGUUUGGUAAGGUCGUACUCGAAAUAUAAAUGUUUGACGAGGAAAUUUAAGAAUUAACCAAGGCAGAGAAAGAAGGGAAAAAGAAUGAGUACAUGAUUCGUGAAUCAAAUGGUAUGUGGAUACAAGAAAACAAAAAGUAUGUGCCUAAUGUUGAGGAUUUGAAGCAAGCAAAUAUUGGACGAAGUUCACUGUUCAACUUCUGCAAUAUUCCAAAAGUAAUAAGAUUUAUCAUACCAUUCGACAGUUUUAUUUGGUCAGCAGAUUGAGGCAGAAAAAGAUAAACCUUUGGAUUGAGAUAACUAUUUUCUGUUUCGCAGUGGAAAUGGAAAGAUAUUACUUUGGAUUAUGUGUACAAGUUUCCUUGUACAUAGGAUGGUUAUGAUUGAAUUUGAAGCGAUAGUUGGUCAAUGUACCAAGUUAGUACAUUUACUCCAGGGUUGAGUAACGGUACUUAUUUGUUUUAUAGAAAGAAGAAUUGGUUUACGGAACUGCUAAGUUUCUUAAGUAUGUUGGUUGCGCAGUUUCCGAAGUGAAGCCAUAAGGUUCAUGAAGUGUGUCAUGUGUGUAUUUUGUUGACUUGUGAAUGGAAUAUUUCUGGGUAGAGAAAGAUUCGAUCAAGAAAGAGUUUUUGUAAACCCUGAGACUAUGGAUGAGUCUCCUCAAAGUAUUCAGGUGAUUAAGUUAACCUGAAGAAACCAGGAAUGGCAAAAGAGAUCAACAGAUGAAUAUACCACUAAUCGAGUGUAUAACGUAGAUGAUUUUAUAUUUUUGGAAAUUUCACCAUGAAAAGAAAUAGCAAGAUUUGGAAAGGAAGACAAGAUAAGUCUUAGACACAUCAGAUCGAUUUGAUCACUAAAGGAAUCGAUGAAGUUGCAUACAAGUGGUGAUGUCUUCAGAGUUGGCUAAGGUACUUAAUGUAUUUUGGGUUCGAUACGUUGUCACUAGGUGACAAAUUCGUCACAUGAGAUCCUGAUGCAACUAUUGAGAGUUAAAUUGCAUUCGACUUGAUAAGGAACCAAGGAUGACUUUGGAUUGGAAAAAGAAGGUCCUGAGAAUUAAGACAGAGUAAGUGGUAAAAGCUUUGUGAAGGAAAUCAUUCAGUGGAAAAUUAUGUGGGAGGAAAAGAAUCGGAUGAGAGAUUUUUAACCGAAGCUAUUGUUGGAGUAUGGUUGAUUUAGUUGGUUGCUGGAAUUUCGGGGACGAAAUUCUAUAAGGAGGGAAGAUUGUCACAGCCCGUCCCGGAAUUUUAAUUCCGAGGACGUGAAAAGACCAAAAUGCCCUUAAGCGGGACUAAGGGGCGAAAAUUUAACAAUUAGAUUUAUAUUUGUAUGUGUUAAAUUGUGUUUGGACUUAGGUAGGGCCUCCUACCCUCAAAACAUUCCCUAAAACCCGUAACCUUUCCUUCUCUCUCUUUUUCUUCUUUCAUCUCAGAAAACUCUCUCUCUCUCUCUUACUCUCGAACUCACGGCAACCACCAAGAACCACCACAAUCUUGUACGAACGUUCCAUUUAAGACCACCAUCGUGAUCCUGAGGACUUCACGAGCUCGGGGAUACCAAACUCAGGUGAGUUUCACUUCGGAAAACCCUAGUUUCAGUGUCACCGUAAUAUUGCACUGUUCACGAACUUCAAAUUGGCUUUGUUUUAGGCCAAACCAAGCUCACAGUGAGCUUAAGGAAGUCCCAAGGAAGCUCGGAGUGCUUCGUUGGAAGUUUUUGGACGUAAGAACACGGAGAUCGACAAGUUCAAAGUUUGGCCGGAGCUUUCGAGGCUCUUUCCGGCGAAUCCCCGGCGAGUUAGGAGUUGAGGUAGGUAUCAAUCUCUUCGUCUCGUCAAGUACUACAACUUUCCUUUUUGUUUCACUCAAUUUCGUUGAGUAUUGAAGAAGUUAUACUCAUUUGAAAAAUACCCAGUUUCCGGCGACCUCCGAGGCUUUCGAGGCAGUUUCCGGCCAAACCACGGCGAACUAGGUGUUGUGAAAGGUACCAUUCUCUUUGUCUCUUCAAGGGCUACAACUUUCGUUUUUGAAUCACUUGAUUUCGUUGAGAAAUGACAAAGUUAUGGCAAUUUGAAAAACUGCCCAGUAAACGGCCGCCGGAAAAACCAGUCUGGCGACCCAAGGAAGAAGAUGAUGCGCGUGGGGGCGCGUGGGCCGUGCUUGUCUUGGCGCGUGGGGCGCGUGCUAAAGUAAAAAAUUAUUUUAAAAAUAUGUCGACGUCCGUGACGUCGAGUAGAUCACUGUGGUAUAUUCAUAUACCCAAUUUGAGCAAUAUAUGAGGAGUUAUUAGCUAAGAGUGGGAUUAUGCGUUAAAUAACGUCAAUUUGGUUACUUCUCGUAUAGGCGAGGAUUAUACGGACGUUGGGCAUGGCUAAGGGAGGCUCAGGGACCUUCGACACGUCGAUGUAAUCUGUGAGUGGGCAGUUUUGUAUUCCGUAUAUAUAUAUACUUGACGUUUCCCAGAAAUUGAAUUGAAAUGAAAAUAUGUUUAAAAUGAAAUGCAUAUGAGUUAUGUGGAAAAACGGGAAGUGAAAUACCAUGCAUAGAAUUGAUAUGAAAAGUAUAUAGAAAUGUGAGUUGAAAUGCCAUGCAUGAAUUAAUAUAUGAUGCAUAUGUAUGAAUUGGUGCGGUGGACGCACAGGUAAGAAUUGAUUUAUGAUGCAUAUAUAUGAAUUGGUGCGGUGGACGCACAGGUAAGAAUUGAUUUAUGAUGCAUAUGUAUGAAAUGGUGCGGUGGACGCACAGGUGAGUAUUUAUUUCUGUUAUGAUGAUGUUGAUGUAUAUUGAGCUCAAAUCCUGCACCAUAGUUUAGUGCUUAUAGUAUUCACCGCAUCGCACGCUCGUCUUGGAUCCAAGUAGAUGCUAGUCGUACAGUCCACGCGGAGUGGGUACGACAGGCCAGUCGCGAGAGUGUUAGUGAGAUUCCGACUGGUGGGUGACCUUAGAUUAUGUGCACAGAUGAUUUAUGAGAAGCACUAGAGCGUAACUUGUGUGCAGAAGGCCGUACAGGUCACGCGGAGUGACUCCGGCAGAGUGUGAGAGUGAUAGAUUUUGAGCUCUAGGUUCAACCGGGCUAAUAGAGGGCCUCCGGUUGAUUAUCUUAUUGCACCUGAUAUGAUUUAUGUUGAUGCAUUCAUACCUUAUUACUGUUGAGAUGAUGUGGCAUGGCAUAAUUUAUAUGAGAAAUGUUGAGAUGAUGUGGCAUGGCAUAAUUAUGAUGAAAAUGUUGAGUUAAUGAAUUGAAGUAUUGAGAAUAUAUAUAUGUAUAUUUAUAUUUUAUAUUUCUGGGAAAGUAUACAGGUUUUACGGAGAGGGGUUACAACGUUUUGAGAAAUGUUUGGAUUUGGAAAAGAAUUGUUUUACUGACCCACUCAAUUUUGGUUUUGCGCCCCUCCAGGUUCAGGAAUCAUAAAGGUGUGGUGACUACGAGGAAAUUGACGGUGUUCUGACAGAUUGGACAAAAUUAGGACUCACC
rnacentral:lncRNA from 1 species